rnacentral:lncRNA from 1 species
AAAUUUUGGUGUACAUUUUCAGAUUUUGGCCGGCCGUCUGUACGAGAUUGCCUCUUCUAUAGAGGUAUACGGAUGGGGGGGGGGGGGCAAGAACAACAGUACCACCCCACAAACUACACAUCCCAUUUCUAAUUACAGAUUCGUUUGAUCGAGAGUACAAACGGACAUACCGCUACCUACAUCGUGAUGGUAACAGCGGUACCUACCCUUUGACAAAUGAAGAUCAUCCGCUGCCCACACGCGCUAUGUGGUGUCGGCGCGCCUUUAAACCUCCGACCCUACAGCCCAGACUGCCACCAAGUCGAUAUUUCCUCAGUCAAGGUCUUAUUAGCGAAGAUUAAAAAAAUCCUGUUGAAAAGUUUACUAAACAUAAUAAUAGGUUAAUUAAGGAUCAUUGAACUAUUUAUGAUCAAAAUAAGUUUAUUCUACAACUUCAGCCGGUUUAAAGAGGAGCAGGUUUUCUAUGAACGGUUUUCAUAUGGCAAGUUUUCUUUGUAUAGUACAACAAAGUUUCUAUGACAAUUUUUUUGUUUUCUAACCUCCACGAUAGUAAUAUAUUAGAUAGUAAUAUAUAUUUCAAGUGCAAUUUGGAAAAAACAUGCACGAGUAAGUUUUCAAAGACGAUCAGAUCUCUGAAAAACUCACGAGUGUAUGUUUUUUUUUUCAAAUUGAACGAGAAACCAUACUAUUACUUAAUAAUAUACAUGAAAAAAUUAUGCAGUCACUCCUAAAAACUCUUAUAUGUUGGGGCUUUUGUAUUAUUUCUGCUGGAAAUAGAAGAUUCCUCUUAUUACGUUUUCGUAGCGCUUUGCAUUGUGGUUCUAGUGGUAUCACUGAUAUGCAAGAUGGCUUAUUUUUUGUUGUCCUGACCCGUGCAAGAACUUUUAAAAAAAGCUAGGGUCAGGUGCACGAUAUCCAACAGCAAAAUAUUCGCGAAAACAUUCAAUGUUUUUAUUCGAGGCCGCUAUCUUUAUCAGUGAUACCACUAUAACCACAAUGCAAAGCGCUACGAAAACGUAAUUAGGGGAAUCGUCUAUAUAGCUCUAUCUUAUUGGCUAUCUUUGUUAUUGUUUCAAAUUUUAAGCCAAUCAGAAAGCCUAAAUAGUCAAUCAAAAUUUGCACUCUAUUUUUUUUGCACUGUAAUUCAUUUUUUGGCACUGUAUUUCGAUCAAAACCUAGCAUACUAGCUUUUGAACAAGUUUACAUGUCAUGGUAAAAAUUGAAAAAGUUGCCUAUACAAGACGAGCAAAUAUAAAUAAAUUUGUCGUAUGAAAAUUUGUCAUAUAGGCCUAUAGUCAGAGAACUUGCUCGUCUGUAACCGGCUUUAAUAAAAAAUUCUUAGAGUUCAGACUUUAUAUUCUCAGUCCUAGGACGUCAUAGAAAAUUUAUAUACACUCUCAGAACUUGGGUAAAACUUUAUCUGAUCAUUUAAUCAAAACUUUACCAGACCUAUACGACUUGAUCAAUAUUUUACCCAGUUCUAACACUUAAUCAAAACAGUAUGUAUAUGAAUGUAUAUGUGGUCAUAGAAAUUGUUUAGAACGUUACCUGGUCGUAGAAUUCCUAGAACUGAAUCCCAGUUCUAAUAAUUAAAUCCUUACUCUGGGUCAGAGUGAAGGUUCAGAGUUCUGAUUCAGACUUCACUGACUUUUGUUGUCUAAUACGUUAUCCAGCUUACCACGAAAGACGCUGGUCGUUAAUUUAUCUAGUUUUUUCGAGUGUCUAAUAUACUUAUAUAGUAGUAAAUUAAAGGAAUAUCUUCAUUUGUUUUUGUAAUAUAAAAUUAAUGAAACGUGUGUUAAAUAGAUAUAUGUUAAGAGUACAUAAACGAUUUUUUGUUAGUAUGUUUGUUAAGAGUACAUAAACGAUUUUUUUGUUGAUAUAAUUUGAGAACAUUUUUGUUCAUUUUAAGUUGUGGGUAGAUCUAUAUUUGGUAUGGUAUGG